UGUGCACAAAGACACUUGUUCGUGAAGGAGAAUUAAGUAGAAAAGUUGAUGCACAGAGACAUUCCCACUCUCUCGGUGUUGGAAGUCUGGGUCCAGUGGCACAAAAAGUCAUCACAUCUGGAGACUUCCUCAGCUGCAUUGGAUGGCCCUGUUGUCUUUUGUGCUCCAACAAGCCCUAAGCACUCCACAGUGCCUUGCUGCGUCACCAUCUCAGCCAUUGAACCUUCUUAUUGGUUUCUUCCCUCUGUUCAGCUGAAGCAGUCUUCACAUGAUGGGAGAUAUCAUGGUGUAAUGAGGAGAUUGGACUAGGAAUCAGAUGGGUUCAAGCCCCAGGUAUGUCACUUUGAGGCAGGCAGACAGGCUGAAAUGAGGAAGAAGUUCCCAAUUCAGACUGUUCAAGCAUCUGGCAUUCACUGAAGACUGGUAUUUUUCACAUGCAAAUAUACAGAGACAGGAGAUCUCAUUGAACCUCUGAAGAAGUACAGUGACACUGGGGCAAGGUGAAUCAUUUCCCUUUUGGAGAGAACUGCAUCACUACAGGAUAAGGUUUCCAUAAGGCAACCUUAACUUGGUGAGUCUUAGCAUCCUUUCCCCUCUUGCACACUGUUUUUUUUUUUUAUAAAGGAAAUCCAUAUGCAAAGAUGGAGGCAAAAAAUGGGGAGGUAUGUUCAGAGGAUGGAAAAAUAGAUAAUUCAAUUUUUAUUGAAAAAAAGGAAUAAUAUUAAAGAGAAAUACUGUGAGAUAAGGCUAGAAAGGUAGGUUAGGGUCAUAUCGUAAAGGACCUUCAGUUUGGACCUAAAGAAUCUAGAUUUUAUCUGGGAGUCAAUGAAGAGUUUUGAAGGGCUCUAGAUAUGUUUGUAUUUAUGUCUUAGAAAGAUUAUUGUUGUUCAGUUAUUCAAUGAUGUCUGAUUUUAUGUGAUACCAUGGACAUUUUCAUGGGACUUUUUCUGGACUGGUUUGCCAUUUCCUUCUCCAGUGUGUCCCUGGUUUAUAGGUGAGAAACUGAGGCAAAUAGAGAUUAAGUGAUUUGCCCAGGAUUACACAGCUAUUAAGUGUCUGAGGCUGCAUUUGAACUGGACCCUUUCCAACUUUGGGCCCAGUGCAUUGUCUCUCUGUCCUCCUUUAAAAGAUUAUUCUGGUCUAAAUUCUGAAAACAGUCAAGAAAAAAGAGACUAGAGACAGAGAGAGAGAUAAAGAGACUCUCUUAAAAGGUACAUUACUAGCAUGAUACAUAGAUUCCUCAAAUCCCAAGUUUGCAGCUGAGAAUGAAAUGCAGAUUGUAAUUAAUUACAUUUGCUGAUCUCUGGACACCAUGUGGAUCCUCUCUAAACUAAUGCCAAACAGUACUAUUCCUUCCUUGAAAGAAAAGAUAAUGUUCCAGAAAAUAAUGGCACAGUAGGUCACCCAGAAUAAUUCAGAUGCCUUUCUUUCUCUGAAAGAUGGGGGGUACCCACUUGACCUUAUAAAGCUUGUUUAUUAGAUUGUGGCUUUUAUGGUAUUAAAAUAAUUCCUCAAAUAGGCUACCAAGCUUCCCAUGGAGAGUGGUUAUUAUCAGAAAAUAAAUAGCUUCAAGUUAUGGCUCUGCAUAUUUAUAAAUACCCCCCAAGAAAAUGUCCCCAAAGGAAAAGUGAUGCUCUUAAAAAUUAGUUGAAAAAUGACCUUUUAUUUAGCUCUCUCUCAAAUGGAGGGAAUACAAUAUAUAAAAAUUUUUUUACAGUUUCUCCAUUCUGUUCAUCUUCCCCUCUCUUGAAAAAAAAUUCAAAAACAAAAAUAAAAGACUGUACCAUGCACCAUCUAUAUGAAUGUGUGGGAGAGAAGACAGACUUCACAAAAUAAUGAAUUGGAGCACUUAACCAGUUUUGUCAGGGAUAAAUUUGAUAGUUAAAACAAUCUUAGAGGUCAUGAAAGAUUAUUUAAAAGGAAGUAUUGGAGAGAUACAUAUUUAACUUUGUUGCUCAAAACAUUAGAAACAAUUUAGAAAUGCAAAGAUUUGAUUGUAAAUUAUAUGGAGUGAGGCCAGUUCCACAAGUAAAUAUUAGAUCAGAGAUUUAGAGCAGGAAGUGACCACCUCAGGGGUCACCUAAUCUAACUCCUUAAUUUCAUAUCAAUCAAUCAACCAACAAUCAUUAAGCUCCUCUGAUUUACCAGGAAUUCUUCUAAGCUUGAGGGGCACAAAUGCAAAAAAAAAAAAAAAAGAAUGAUUCCCCGUUUUUAAGAAACUAACAUUUUACCUCUAUGGAUGAAGAAUGUAAGGUCAAGGGAAGAUUAUAGAUCUAAUAUAGGAAGGAACUUCUGAGACAUAUCCUUCAACCCCCUCAUUUAAAAUUUAAAAAAUUAUAUCCUCCUAUAAUUACACAUCAAAACAAAUAACAUUAAAAUUUUUUUAAAUUCCAAUUGUCUCCUUUUCUCCCUCCCCUCCCUGAGAUGAUGAGCAAUUUGAGCAAUGUGACAUAAAUUUAACAUGUGCAAUCCAUAUUAGUAAUUUUGUGGAAGAGAACUUGAAUAAAAAAUCUAAAAACAAAAACCCUAAACAAAUGGAAAAAGAAAAUUAAAUAUGGUUUAUUUCAGUCUAUGCUCAGACUCCAUCAGAUGGCAUUUUUCAUCAUAAGUCCUUAGAAGCCUCAUUUAUAGGUGAGCAGGCUGAGGCUCAGGGAGAUUAAAUGACUUUUCCAUAGUCACAUAGGUAACAAAUGAUAGAGAUGGGAAUUGAACUCAGGUUCUCUGAUUCCAAAUGCAGCACAUUUUCCUCUGUACCAUGCUUCCAACCAUGUUCAAAAAUAUAUCCCAACCUUAUGUUUUCAUAUCUCAGAUGACACAGAUAGUGAUAAAGACUAGCUAGUCCAAAAUCAAGAAGGCAUAUAUUUUAAUCACUUUUCUGUUUUAUGUGUAGCUUCCUUCAUUUUCCUUUCCAGGAUGCUACAUGUGGCCUUGUACACAUAGUGAUGUUGGAUUUUUCCAUUCUAAUAUGUUUCAUUCUUUUCUGCUCUAAGGUAAGUGAAUGUAAUGAAUGGAAAAGGCUACCAAAAGUAAGAUUAUUAAAAAAAAAUAGAAAGAAAGAAAAAGGGUCUAAAGGUCAGACGAGUUACUGGUGGUCCAGGAACAGAAGUCCAUAUUGGAGUUUGCUGGAAGCUAAUCUCAGGAAGGGUGCAGCCCCUACAAUCGAAAUGUGUGAUAUUGAAAUCACUUUAAAAGACUGAUAUAUAUUAAUUUAAGGUCACCAAGGAAUUCAGCUAUGUAAUUCCUAAAUGAAAUACUCAAGUCAGCUGCCAAUUUUUUUUUAUGGUGUUUUAAU